rnacentral:rRNA from 1 species
UACGUAGGGUGCAAGCGUUAAUCGGAAUUACUGGGCGUAAAGCGUGCGCAGGCGGCUUUGCAAGACAGAUGUGAAAUCCCCGGGCUUAACCUGGGAACUGCAUUUGUGACUGCAUGGCUGGAGUGCGGCAGAGGGGGGUGGAAUUCCGCGUGUAGCAGUGAAAUGCGUAGAGAUGCGGAGGAACACCGAUGGCGAAGGCAGCCCCCUGGGCUAGCACUGACGCUCAGGCACGAAAGCGUGGGGAGCAAACAGG